rnacentral:lncRNA from 1 species
CACGGUUCUCGCGUUGUGGGGAUUCAGCAUAAACUUGCCCCUGGUCUCUCACAUCUCUAAAUAUUGAAAGAAAUGAGUUGAGGCCUUCAGAAGAAGCACCCCCUAAGAUCCAUAGCAACAGAGAGCUGAAAGAGUUCAUGGUCCCAGGGUUGGCACCAGUUUCUGCCUGUCGGAGCUCUGGUUGUCCUGGAAUCUGGAGAUUGCCUCCUCUACUUAGGUUGUCAUUUUCUGAUCCUUCUUGAUAUAGUCCGGGAGCUCCUGCUGCACCAUUUGCUGGCAUUGCUGGAUCAGGGCCAGGUCUCAAACCAGGUCCUGGCAUAACCUCUGUGUUAACUGGACCUGGGUUCCUCGUGUUUAAUCUUGUG